ACACAUGCAAGUCGAGCGAGGGUUUGCUCAGUAUUGAGUAUUCUAAGACUAGAAUGUUCAAUUCUGAGCAAAACCAAGCGGCGGACGGGUGAGUAACGCGUGGGUAACCUGCCCUAUACACAUGGAUAACAUAGUGAAAAGUUUACUAAUACAUGAUAAUAUAUAUUUGCGGCAUCGCAGAUAUAUCAAAGUGUUAGCGGUAUAGGAUGGACCCGCGUCUGAUUAGCUAGUUGGUGAGAUAACUGCCCACCAAGGCGACGAUCAGUAGCCGACCUGAGAGGGUGAUCGGCCACAUUGGAACUGAGGCACGGUCCAAACUCCUACGGGAGGCAGCAGUGGGGAAUAUUGCACAAUGGGCGAAAGCCUGAUGCAGCAACGCCGCGUGAACGAUGAAGGUCUUCGGAUCGUAAAGUUCUGUUGCAGGGGAAGAUAAUGACGGUACCCUGUGAGGAAGCCCCGGCUAACUACGUGCCAGCAGCCGCGGUAAUACGUAGGGGGCUAGCGUUAUCCGGAUUUACUGGGCGUAAAGGGUGCGUAGGUGGUCCUUCAAGUCGGUGGUUAAAGGCUACGGCUCAACCGUAGUAAGCCGCCGAAACUGGAGGACUUGAGUGCAGGAGAGGAAAGUGGAAUUCCCAGUGUAGCGGUGAAAUGCGUAGAUAUUGGGAGGAACACCAGUAGCGAAGGCGGCUUUCUGGACUGCAACUGACACUGAGGCACGAAAGCGUGGGUAGCAAACAGGAUUAGAUACCCUGGUAGUCCACGCUGUAAACGAUGAGUACUAGGUGUCGGGGGUUACCCCCCUCGGUGCCGCAGCUAACGCAUUAAGUACUCCGCCUGGGGAGUACGCACGCAAGUGUGAAACUCAAAGGAAUUGACGGGGACCCGCA
rnacentral:rRNA from 1 species